rnacentral:rRNA from 1 species
CACGUAGGGCGCAAGCGUUGUCCGGAAUUACUGGGCGUAAAGCGUGCGUAGGUGGUCUGUUAAGUCUGAUGUGAAAGCCCUGGGCUCAACCUGGGAAUUGCAUUGGAUACUGGCAGGCUAGAGUGCGGUAGAGGGUAGUGGAAUUCCCGGUGUAGCAGUGAAAUGCGUAGAGAUCGGGAGGAACACCAGUGGCGAAGGCGACUACCUGGACCAGCACUGACACUGAGGCACGAAAGCGUGGGGAGCAAACAGG